rnacentral:rRNA from 1 species
CUUAUAAGUAUUGGAGGUCCCGCCUGCCCAGUGACUCUUUAAACGGCCGCGGUAUCCUAACCGUGCAAAGGUAGCAUAAUCACUUGUCCCCUAAAUAGGGACUGGUAUGAAUGGCUAAAUGAGGACUAAACUGUCUCUUGCGGACUGGCCAAUGAAAUUGAUUUUCCAGUACAAAAGCUGGAAUGUACCCAUAAGACGAGAAGACCCUGUGGAGCUUCAAAACCAAAUCACCCAGCAUGUUCAUUGGAUUUUUAGUUGGGGCGACUUCGGAAUAUAAUAAAACUUCCAAAAUAAAUUAAUUUCAUCAAGAUUAACACACCAAAAUUUCUUUAUAGAUCCAGCAAAUAAUUUUAUUUAUCUGAUCAAUGAACCAAGUUACCCCAGGGAUAACAGCGCAAUCUCCUUUUAGAGUCCAUAUCGACAAGGGGGUUUACGACCUCGAUGUUGGAUCAGGACACCCCAAUGGUGCAGCCGCCAUUAAAGGUUCGUUUGUUCAACGAUUAACAGUCCUACGUGAUCUGAGUUCAGACCGGA